rnacentral:rRNA from 1 species
CAAAGGAAGCGAUUCCGGCAACGGAUGGGCAUGCGUGACAUUAGCUAGUUGGCGGGGCAACGGCCCACCAAGGCGACGAUGUCUAGGGGUUCUGAGAGGAAGGUCCCCCACACUGGUACUGAGACACGGACCAGACUCCUACGGGAGGCAGCAGUGAGGAAUAUUGGUCAAUGGGCGCGAGCCUGAACCAGCCAAGUCGCGUGAGGGAUGACGGCCCUACGGGUUGUAAACCUCUUUUGUCGGGGAGCAAAUUCCGCCGCGCGUGGCGGAGUCGAGAGUACCCGAAGAAAAAGCAUCGGCUAACUCCGUGCCAGCAGCCGCGGUAAUACGGAGGAUGCGAGCGUUAUCCGGAUUUAUUGGGUUUAAAGGGUGCGUAGGCGGACUGUCAAGUCAGCGGUAAAAUACGGGGGCUCAACCUCCGCCCGCCGUUGAAACUGACGGUCUUGAGUGGGCGAGAAGUAUGCGGAAUGCGUGGUGUAGCGGUGAAAUGCAUAGAUAUCACGCAGAACUCCGAUUGCGAAGGCAGCAUACCGGCGCCCAACUGACGCUGAAGCACGAAAGCGUGGGUAUCGAACAGGAUUAGAUACCCUGGUAGUCCACGCAGUAAACGAUGAAUGCUAGCUGUCCGGGGCGAAUGGGCCCUGG